AAGCCGGCCCCUAAGGCGAGGCCGAAAGGCGUAGUCGAUGGGAACCAGGUUAAUAUUCCUGGGCCAGGAGGAUGUGACGGAUCUCGAAGGUUGUCUGCCCUUAUCGGAUUGGGUGGGCCGCUUAGAGGUUCCUGGAAAUAGCCCUCCACAAGACCGUACCCCAAACCGACACAGGUGGACUGGUAGAGAAUACCAAGGCGCUUGAGAGAACCACAUCAAAGGAACUCGGCAAAAUGCUCCCGUAAGUUCGCGAGAAGGGAGCCCCGUCUGUAGGCAACUAUGGGCGGGGGGCACAAACCAGGGGGUGGCGACUGUUUACUUAAAACACAGGGCUGUGCGAAGCCGUAAGGCGACGUAUACAGUCUGACGCCUGCCCGGUGCUGGAAGGUUAAAAGGAGGGGUGCAAGCUCUGAAUUGAAGCCCCAGUAAACGGCGGCCGUAACGAUAACGGUCCUAAGGUAGCGAAAUUCCUUGUCGGGUAAGUUCCGACCUGCACGAAUGGCGUAACGAUCUCCCCGCUGUCUCUGAUGUGGACUCAGCGAAAUUGAACUGUGUGUCAAGAUGCACACUUCCCGCGGUUAGACGGAAAGACCCCAUGAACCUUUACUCCAGCUUUGCACUGGCAUCAGGAUUGUGAUGUGCAGGAUAGGUGGUAGGCAUCGAAGCAGAGACGCCAGUUUCUGUGGAGCCUCCCUUGAGAUACCACCCUUCGCACUCUUGAUGUCUAACCGCGGCCCGUUAUCCGGGUCCGGGACCAUGCAUGGUGGGGAGUUUGACUGGGGCGGUCGCCUCCCAAACAGUAACGGAGGCGCGCGAAGGUUGGCUCAGAGCGGUCGGAAAUCGCUCGUUGAGUGUAAUGGCAGAAGCCAGCCUGACUGCAAGACUGACAAGUCGAGCAGAGACGAAAGUCGGCCAUAGUGAUCCGGUGGUCCCAAGUGGGAGGGCCAUCGCUCAACGGAUAAAAGGUACUCUGGGGAUAACAGGCUGAUGAUGCCCAAGAGUCCAUAUCGACGGCAUCGUUUGGCACCUCGAUGUCGGCUCAUCUCAUCCUGGGGCUGGAGCAGGUCCCAAGGGUAUGGCUGUUCGCCAUUUAAAGAGGUACGUGAGCUGGGUUUAGAACGUCGUGAGACAGUUCGGUCCCUAUCUGCCGUGGGUGUAGGAGACUUGAGAAGAGUUGCCCCUAGUACGAGAGGACCGGGGUGAACGUUCCACUGGUGGACCAGUUGUCGUGCCAACGGCAGUGCUGGGUGGCUAUGAACGGACAGGAUAACCGCUGAAGGCAUCUAAGCGGGAAGCCCCCUUCAAAACAAGGUCUCCCUUGAGAGCCGUGGAAGACCACCACGUCGAUAGGCCAGAGGUGUAAGUGCAGCAACGCAUUCAGCUGACUGGUACUAAUUGCUU
rnacentral:rRNA from 1 species